rnacentral:lncRNA from 1 species
CUCUUUUCCUUUCUCUCUCCCCCUCUAUCUUUUCCUCUCUCUCUCCUCCUCUCCCCCCUCUCCAGACAUCGUGAAACAAGCUGUGAAGGAGUACAGGAACAUCUACCCUGAGACGUGUGUUUGAGACAGUGUUUGGUCUGAAGCUGGUGGAGAUCGACUCUAAGAACCACGUCUACAUCCUCAUCAACAAACUGGAGCAGCUAGAGGGAGAAUCUCUCAACAUGUAGAUCACUGUGUGGAAAGACUAGAGGGAGAAUCUCUCAACAUGUAGGUCACUGUGUGGAAAGACUAGAGGGAGAAUCUCUCAACAUGUAGGUCACUGUGUGGAAAGACUAGAGGGAGAAUCUCUCAAGAUGGAGGUCACUGUGUGGAAAGACUAGAGGGAGAAUCUCUCAAGAUGGAGGUCACUGUGUGGAAAGACUAGAGGGAGAAUCUCUCAAGAUGGAGGUCACUGUGUGGAAAGACUAGAGGGAGAAUCUCUCAACAUGGAGGUCACUGUGGAAAGACUAGAGGGGGAUCUCUCAAGAUGGAGGUCACUGUGUGGAAAGACUAGAGGGAGAAUCUCUCAACAUGUAGGUCACUGUGUGGAAAGACUAGAGGGAAAAUCUCUCAAGAUGGAGGUCACUGUGUGGAAAGACUAGAGGGACAAUCUCUCAACAUGUAGGUCACUGUGUGGAAAGACUAGAGGGAAAAUCUCUCAACAUGUAGGUCACUGUGUGGAAAGACUAGAGGGACAAUCUCUCAACAUGUAGGUCACUGUGUGGAAAGACUAGAGGGAAAAUCUCUCAAGAUGGAGGUCACUGUGUGGAAAGACUAGAGGGAGAAUCUCUCAAGAUGUAAGCCCCAGGAAGACACCCCCUCCCCUACAGGAAGACUCCAAGCAGACACCCCCUCCCCUACAGGAAGACACCCCCUCCCCUACAGGAAGACUCCAGGAAGACACCCCCUCCCCUACAGGAAGACUCCAGGAAGACACCCCCUCCCCUGCAGGAAGACCGCAGGAAAACAUCCCCUCCCCAACAGGAAGACACCCCCUCUCCUACAGGAAGACACCCCUCCCCUACAGGAAGACACCCCUCUCCUACAGGAAGACACCCCCUCCCCUACAGGAAGACACCCCCUCCCCUACAGGAAGACACCCCCUCUCCUACAGGAAGACCCCAAGAAGACACCCCCUCUCCCACAGGAAGACACCCCCUCUCCUACAGGAAGAUCCCAGGAAGACACCCCUCCCCCACAGGAAGAUCCCAGGAAGACACCCCCUCCCCUACAGGAAGAUCCCAGGAAGAC